ensembl:lncRNA
GUCCCGCUAUAUUAUUCAGGCUGAACUACAGCGUCUAUUCACGGGCGCGAACCCACUACUGAGCGGCACGGGGGCUUUGACCUGCUCCGUUUCCGACCUGGGCCGAUUCACCCCUCCUUAGACGACCUGGUACACGGGGGCUUUGACCUGCUCCGUUUCCGACCUGGGCCGAUUCACCCCUCCUUAGACGACCUGGUAGUCCCGGGCUCCCCCAGGAGCACCAUAUCGAUACCGAACUUAGCGCGGACACCCGAUCGACAUAGCCCACUGCAGCUCAGAACUCCUGAGCUCAAACGAUCCGCCAGCCUCAGCCUCCCAGUAGCAUGGAUUACAGGCGCACGCCACUGCGCCCGGGGAACGAGAGCAGCGC